rnacentral:rRNA from 1 species
CAACCGUUGGAAACGACGGCUAAUCCCCAAUGUGCCGAGAGGUGAAAAGGGUUUCCGCCUGAAGAAGAGCUCGCGUCCGAUUAGUCAGUUGGUGAGGUAAGAGCUCACCAAGGCAGCGAUCGGUAGCUGGUCUGAGAGGAUGAGCAGCCACACUGGGACUGAGACACGGCCCAGACUCCUACGGGAGGCAGCAGUGGGGAAUUUUCCGCAAUGGGCGAAAGCCUGACGGAGCAACGCCGCGUGUGGGAAGAAGGCUCUUGGGCUGUCAACCACUUUUCUCAGGGAAGAAGACCUGACGGUACCUGAGGAAUCAGCCUCGGCUAACUCCGUGCCAGCAGCCGCGGUAAUACGGAGGAGGCAAGCGUUAUCCGGAAUUAUUGGGCGUAAAGCGUCCGCAGGGGGCGCAUCAAGUCUGCUGUUAAAGGCUGGAGCUUAACUCCGGUAGAGCAGUGGAAACUGGUGCGCUAGAGGGCGACAGGGGUAGAGGGAAUUCCCAGUGUAGCGGUGAAAUGCGUAGAGAUUGGGAAGAACACCGGUGGCGAAAGCGCUCUACUGGGUCGCACCUGA